UUGAACGCUGGCGACAUGCCUUACACAUGCCAGUCGAACGGCAGCACGGGUGCUUGCACCUGGUGGCGAGUGGCGAACGGGUGAGUAAUACAUCGGAACAUGUCCUGUAGUGGGGGAUAGCCCGGCGAAAGCCGGAUUAAUACCGCAUACGAUCUACGGAUGAAAGCGGGGGACCUUCGGGCCUCGCGCUAUAGGGUUGGCCGAUGGCUGAUUAGCUAGUUGGUGGGGUAAAGGCCUACCAAGGCGACGAUCAGUAGCUGGUCUGAGAGGACGACCAGCCACACUGGGACUGAGACACGGCCCAGACUCCUACGGGAGGCAGCAGUGGGGAAUUUUGGACAAUGGGCGAAAGCCUGAUCCAGCAAUGCCGCGUGUGUGAAGAAGGCCUUCGGGUUGUAAAGCACUUUUGUCCGGAAAGAAAUCCUUGGCCCUAAUACGGUCGGGGGAUGACGGUACCGGAAGAAUAAGCACCGGCUAACUACGUG
rnacentral:rRNA from 1 species